UGAGGAACAUGACCUUCGGCGGGGGAUAGCCGGCCCAACGGCCGGGUAAUACCGCGUACGACCACAUGGGGACAUCCCCGAUUGGUGAAAGCAGCAAAGCGCCGAAAGAGUGCCUCGCGGCCUAUCAGCUAGUUGGUGGGGUAAUGGCUCACCAAGGCGACGACGGGUAGCUGGUCUGAGAGGGUGACCGGCCACACUGGGACUGAGACACGGCCCAGACCUCCGUACGGGGAGCAG
rnacentral:rRNA from 1 species